GUCGAACGGUGAACACGGAGCUUGCUCUGUGGGAUCAGUGGCGAACGGGUGAGUAACACGUGAGCAACCUGCCCCUGACUCUGGGAUAAGCGCUGGAAACGGCGUCUAAUACUGGAUAUGUGACGUGAUCGCAUGGUCUGCGUCUGGAAAGAAUUUCGGUUGGGGAUGGGCUCGCGGCCUAUCAGCUUGUUGGUGAGGUAAUGGCUCACCAAGGCGUCGACGGGUAGCCGGCCUGAGAGGGUGACCGGCCACACUGGGACUGAGACACGGCCCAGACUCCUACGGGAGGCAGCAGUGGGGAAUAUUGCACAAUGGGCGCAAGCCUGAUGCAGCAACGCCGCGUGAGGGACGACGGCCUUCGGGUUGUAAACCUCUUUUAGCAGGGAAGAAGCGAAAGUGACGGUACCUGCAGAAAAAGCGCCGGCUAACUACGUGCCAGCAGCCGCGGUAAUACGUAGGGCGCAAGCGUUAUCCGGAAUUAUUGGGCGUAAAGAGCUCGUAGGCGGUUUGUCGCGUCUGCUGUGAAAUCCGGAGGCUCAACCUCCGGCCUGCAGUGGGUACGGGCAGACUAGAGUGCGGUAGGGGAGAUUGGAAUUCCUGGUGUAGCGGUGGAAUGCGCAGAUAUCAGGAGGAACACCGAUGGCGAAGGCAGAUCUCUGGGCCGUAACUGACGCUGAGGAGCGAAAGGGUGGGGAGCAAACAGGCUUAGAUACCCUGGUAGUCCACCCCGUAAACGUUGGGAACUAGUUGUGGGGUCCAUUCCACGGAUUCCGUGACGCAGCUAACGCAUUAAGUUCCCCGCCUGGGGGAGUACGGCCGCAAGGCUAAAACUCAAAGGAAUUGACGGGGGACCCGCACA
rnacentral:rRNA from 1 species